UUCCAGUUGGAUAGAGGCAGGGCUGCCUAUUUGUCCUUCAUUAUACAAACCAUAAACACACACUGGUAUACCCAGAGCUUGUCCACUCUAAUCAUCUAUCAAGAAUUCCAGAUUCCUCAUGCGUUAUCCAAAGAUUUUUUUUAUUAUAACAUCCUUUCCUAAAAAUUUAUACAAACUAACUUCUGUUCUCAUCCUAUUCUCAUCUUUUCCCAACAGAACUGAAAAGACUGGGCUCCCAAAGAAGCGGGUUCUCUGUGCAGAUGUUCUUAUCUGGAGAUACAUCAGCCCCAAACAGACACAGCUU
rnacentral:lncRNA from 1 species